rnacentral:rRNA from 1 species
UACGGGGGGGGCAAGCGUUGUUCGGAUUCACUGGGCGUAAAGGGUGCGCAGGCGGCCGAGUGUGUGAGGCGUGAAAGCCCGGGGCUUAACCCCGGAAUUGCACCUCAAACUACACGGCUAGAGCAUUGGAGAGGGUAGCAGAAUUCAUGGUGUAGCAGUGAAAUGCGUAGAUAUCAUGAGGAAUACCAGAGGCGAAGGCGGCUACCUGGACAAUUGCUGACGCUCAGGCACGAAAGCGUGGGGAGCAAAAGGG